UGUUAGUAGUUAUAAUUAUGUAUAUUGUUAUAUCUUAUAUGAUUCAUUUCUGUUUUUACACGCCCUAUCUGUUGUUUGUGAUCAAAUUUCUCUUCUUAGGGCUUCUGGAAGAAAUUUCUUUAGAGAUAAGCAGUACCUUUUGUGUCGUUUUUCUUCAUAUGUAUAAUUUGUUCAAUGUUUUUGUGUGCAAUAAACUGUUAAAUAAAU